CCAUGUGAAGAAGGUGCUUGUUUCCCCUUUGCCUUCCGCCAUGAGUGUAAGUUUCCUGAGGUCUCCCAGUCAUACUGCUGGUUAAGCCUGCAGAACGGUGUACUUGUUUGAAAUGUAUCUGGCCCAAUCGCUGAGCGUCCGCGCUGCAUUUCUCCAAACUGCCCAGCAGGGGGCGGUGCUACCUCGGCUCCGCGCAGCCACGGCUUCCCGCUGGCGAACCAAGGGCGCGGAAUCUGGAGAGGGCGAGGAACAUCUUUCCUCCCACCUGUCCCCCGCCAAGCCUGCCAGACCCGUCUCAUCCGUGCUGCUGCUUCUGAAAAUCAGAAGAGUGAGGAUGAAAUAAAGUCUUCAUAAAGGAAAA
rnacentral:lncRNA from 10 species